UACGUAGGGGGGCAAGCGUUGUCCGGAUUUAUUGGGCGUAAAGCGCGUGUAGGUGCCAAGUAGGUCCGCUGUGAAAACUUGAGGCUCAACCUCAAGCUGUCGGUGGAAACCCCUUGGCUAGAGUCCGGAAGAGGAGAGUGGAAUUCCUGGUGUAGCGGUGAAAUGCGCAGAUAUCAGGAAGAACACCAAUGGCGAAGGCAGCUCUCUGGGACGGUACUGACACUGAGACGCGAAAGCGUGGGGAGCGAACAGG
rnacentral:rRNA from 1 species